ensembl:lincRNA
AGAAUUCAUUUUUCCUGAUCAUCUUCUCUGGUUCGAAUCACUCUGCUGCCUGUUAAUUACUCAGAUUUAGAGCUGAAGUGAAUUGGAUUUAUUGAGAAAGAUUGAUUUAAAUGGCUUAAAAAGAACUUCUGAUGAGGAGGGAUGCCAUCUAGUUUAGAAGUCUCAGAAUUCCCACUUUAACUGAAUGUACAUUUUGCCGAGAAAACUUCAUGAAAGAAGCAUUUGGACAAAUGGAGAGGAAUGGGAAAAACAGAUGGAAAAGAAAGAAUUAAGCAAGGGUAACUAUUUUGUAAUGAUAAAAAGGAGCCUGGAGUGACCUGCAAAGGCGAGGCGGUUAUUCCUGGAAGAGAUGACCUGUGAGAUGUAUUUUGAGGAAAAAGUUAGAGUUCACAAGAUUAAUAAAAGAUAAGCAGAAGAGAAUGGGACUUGGGAGGUAGGAGGGUACCCAAGGGGAGGAAAUAAUGAGAAAUGUCAUGUGUGGAAUUAACAUUUUAAAAUUACUUUUCAAAAGCUAACUUUCUUGAGGGUUUUCCUUGAGGC